CCUACGGGGGGCUGCAGUGGGGAAUAUUGCACAAUGGGGGAAACCCUGAUGCAGCGACGCCGCGUGAGUGAAGAAGUAUUUCGGUACGUAAAGCUCUAUCAGCAGGGGAGAAAAACCGGCCUUAGGGCCGCCAGACGGUACCUGACUAAGAAGCGCCGGCGAACUACGUGCCAGCAGCCGCGGUAAUACGUAGGGGGCAAGAGUUAUCCGGAGUUAUUGGGGGUAAAGGGAGGGUAGACGGCAGCGCAAGUCUGGAGUGAAAUGCCGGGGCCCAACCCCGGAACUGCUUUGGAAACUGUGCAGCUGGAGUGCAGGAGAGGUAAGCGGAAUGCGUAGUGUAGCGGUGAAAUGCGUAGAUAUUAGGAGGAACACCAGUGGCGAAGGCGGCUUACUGGCCUGUAACUGACGUUGAGGCUCGAAAGCGUGGGGAGCAAACAGGAUUAGAUACCCCAGUAGUC
rnacentral:rRNA from 1 species